rnacentral:rRNA from 1 species
GCUAGAAUAUGUGAGAGGGAAGUAGAAUUCCAGGUGUAGCGGUGAAAUGCGUAGAGAUCUGGAGGAAUACCGAUGGCGAAGGCAGCUUCCUGGCAUAAUAUUGACACUGAGAUUCGAAAGCGUGGGUAGCAAACAGGAUUAGAUACCCUGGUAGUCCACGCCGUAAACGAUGUCUACUAGCCGUUGGGGUCCUUGAGACUUUAGUGGCGCAGUUAACGCGGUAAGUAGACCGCCUGGGGAGUACGGCCGCAAGGUUAAAACUCAAAUGAAUUGACGGGGGCCCGCACAAGCGGUGGAGCAUGUGGUUUAAUUCGAUGCAACGCGAAGAACCUUACCUGGUCUUGACAUAGUGAGUCGCGUGUUCUAGACCCGAAGCGGUGUGAUCUAUCCAUGGCCAGGAUGAAGCGUCGGUAAGACGUCGUGGAGGUCCGAACCCACUUCAGUUAAAAUGGAGGGGAUGAGUUGUGGAUAGGGGUGAAAGGCCAAUCAAACACCGUGAUAGCUGGUUCUCCCCGAAAUGCAUUUAGGUG